GAGGGGUGCAAGCGUUAUUCGGAAUCAUUGGGCGUAAAGGGUGCGUAGACGGCGUAUUAAGUCAACUGUUAAAUUUUCCGGCCUAACCGGAAACCUGCGGUAGAUACUGGUAUGCUUGAGGAUGGAAGAGAGAAGUGGAAUUCUCGGAGUAGCGGUAAAAUGCGUAGAUCUCGAGAGGAACACCAAUGGCGAAGGCAGCUUCUUGGUCCAAUCCUGACGUUGAGGCACGAAAGCGUGGGGAGCAAACAGGGAUUAGAUACCCUGGUAGUCCACGCCGUAAACGAUGAUCACUAGACGUUGGUUCUGUCUAACAGAAUUAGUGUCGUAGCUAACGCGAUAAGUGAUCCGCCUGGGACUACGGUCGCAAGAUUA
rnacentral:rRNA from 1 species